AGCGAACGCUGGCGGCAGGCCUAAUACAUGCAAGUCGAGCGCCCGGGGCAACCCGGGAGCGGCAGACGGGUGAGUAACACGUGGGAACAUGCCCUUCGGUUCGGAAUAACUCGGGGAAACCCGUGCUAAUACCGGAUACGUCCGUAAGGAGAAAGAUUUAUCGCCGAAGGAUUGGCCCGCGUCCGAUUAGCUAGUUGGUGGGGUAAUGGCCCACCAAGGCGACGAUCGGUAGCUGGUCUGAGAGGAUGAUCAGCCACACUGGGACUGAGACACGGCCCAGACUCCUACGGGAGGCAGCAGUAGGGAAUAUUGGACAAUGGGCGCAAGCCUGAUCCAGCCAUGCCGCGUGGGUGAUGAAGGCCCUAGGGUUGUAAAGCCCUUUCGGCGGGGAAGAUAAUGACGGUACCCGCAGAAGAAGCCCCGGCUAACUUCGUGCCAGCCGCCGCCGUAA
rnacentral:rRNA from 1 species